rnacentral:rRNA from 1 species
AGGCUUAACACAUGCAAGUCGAGGGGCAUCAGGAAGAAAGCUUGCUUUCUUUGCUGGCGACCGGCGCACGGGUGAGUAACACGUAUCCAACCUGCCCUUUACUCGGGGAUAGCCUUUCGAAAGAAAGAUUAAUACCCGAUAGCAUAAUGAUUCCGCAUGGUUUCAUUAUUAAAGGAUUCCGGUAAAGGAUGGGGAUGCGUUCCAUUAGGUUGUUGGUGAGGUAACGGCCCACCAAGCCUUCGAUGGAUAGGGGUUCUGAGAGGAAGGUCCCCCACAUUGGAACUGAGACACGGUCCAAACUCCUACGGGAGGCAGCAGUGAGGAAUAUUGGUCAAUGGGCGCUAGCCUGAACCAGCCAAGUAGCGUGAAGGAUGAAGGCUCUAUGGGUCGUAAACUUCUUUUAUAUAAGAAUAAAGUGCAGUAUGUAUACUGUUUUGUAUGUAUUAUAUGAAUAAGGAUCGGCUAACUCCGUGCCAGCAGCCGCGGUAAUACGGAGGAUCCGAGCGUUAUCCGGAUUUAUUGGGUUUAAAGGGAGCGUAGGUGGACUGGUAAGUCAGUUGUGAAAGUUUGCGGCUCAACCGUAAAAUUGCAGUUGAUACUGUCAGUCUUGAGUACAGUAGAGGUGGGCGGAAUUCGUGGUGUAGCGGUGAAAUGCUUAGAUAUCACGAAGAACUCCGAUUGCGAAGGCAGCUCACUGGACUGCAACUGACACUGAUGCUCGAAAGUGUGGGUAUCAAACAGGAUUAGAUACCCUGGUAGUCCACACAGUAAACGAUGAAUACUCGCUGUUUGCGAUAUACAGUAAGCGGCCAAGCGAAAGCAUUAAGUAUUCCACCUGGGGAGUACGCCGGCAACGGUGAAACUCAAAGGAAUUGACGGGGGCCCGCACAAGCGGAGGAACAUGUGGUUUAAUUCGAUGAUACGCGAGGAACCUUACCCGGGCUUAAAUUGCAGUGGAAUGAUGUGGAAACAUGUCAGUGAGCAAUCACCGCUGUGAAGGUGCUGCAUGGUUGUCGUCAGCUCGUGCCGUGAGGUGUCGGCUUAAGUGCCAUAACGAGCGCAACCCUUAUCUUCAGUUACUAACAGGUUAUGCUGAGGACUCUGGAGAGACUGCCGUCGUAAGAUGUGAGGAAGGUGGGGAUGACGUCAAAUCAGCACGGCCCUUACGUCCGGGGCUACACACGUGUUACAAUGGGGGGUACAGAAGGCAGCUACCUGGUGACAGGAUGCUAAUCCCAAAAGCCUCUCUCAGUUCGGAUCGAAGUCUGCAACCCGACUUCGUGAAGCUGGAUUCGCUAGUAAUCGCGCAUCAGCCACGGCGCGGUGAAUACGUUCCCGGGCCUUGUACACACCGCCCGUCAAGCCAUGGGAGCCGGGGGUACCUGAAGUACGUAACCGCAAGGAUCGUCCUAGGGUAAAACUGGUGACUGGGGCU